GUUUUGUGUCAUUUGGGAUUUUUAUGAAGAAGUUAUAGGCGCUCAAAGUUAAGGUGUUAGUUUUGGACCUACUGUCAUUCUUUUGGGCAUAACGUACGCUUACAGAUGGCAAUUGAAGAUCGGCAAUCGCGAUUGGAAAACGCACUUUUGCCACUAUACUUUUCACAUAUUGCUUACUGGAUUCCAAGUUGAACUAAAGGAGUUAUUGGAUUUUGAAGUCAACAAAUGCAAUGUAAGGGUAGUUAGUAAACCGAUUUACUAGUGUUUGUCUCUUGAGCUAUAUCUUGAGCAAUUUUGUGAGGUUUUGGCUCAAAAUUUCAAAGAAUGUGUAAUUUCAUGUAAGUAAACUUUGUACAAAAGUUUUAUGA
rnacentral:lncRNA from 1 species